ensembl:lncRNA
AAACCGAGCGUUGUCGGACGGAUGCUCGCGCGGAGGGCCCCAACCCAGCCAGGUCUGAUGGUUACGGUGUGGACAUGCUGGAUUACAGCAGCGAUGAGGUACCAGGCUCAGACAUGUGACCCAUGUGGCCCAAGUUCACACAGCUGGAAAGCAGCAGAUAGGAAACUCCAGGUCCAUUUCCAGAGCGUCUCUGAGGAAGAACAAGACAGAGAAUUCCUGGUUCAGUCCCUGGAGAAAGUCAACAGGGCAGCGAGUUUCUCUCCCUGGUGCUGCUCUGGAAGGAGGACUCAGUGGUAGAGGUUUAAGGGUGGAGGAGAGGGUGAUGGUGAUGAGGGCAGAUCCGGAGGUGAGGAAAGAGGAUUUUAUUACAAGUGGAACUGGAAGCCAUUCCUGGAAUGUAGACAUUUUGCCCCUGCCACCCAAUCUGCUUCCUAGACUGAGUCGGGGAAUGGUGUGGAUAGAAAUGGCAGUGGGGGACCAGCAAGCCUGUCUUCAGAGCAGAAGGAAGGAAACAAGGAAGGAAUGAGGGAGGGAGGAAGGAAGGAGGUUCAAGGCCUUCAAUUCUGAGCACUUAAAAACGUGUGUAUUUUUUUCUUAUUUCCAUAGUAAUAUAUACCUAUUGAGAAAAACUAGAAAUUUCAGAAAAGCACACGCACAAAAUAUGCCCUGCAGUCCUGCCCCCAGACUUAACGACUAUUAAUGUUUUGGGUGCGAUAAGAAGCUAUACUGAGGCUACAGGGAGCUGAACUGUAGGAAGGGAGAGAGGAAUGUCUAUUUUUUUGUUUAUACCUUUUUCUACUGUUUGAAUUUUUCUCAGGAGAAUGUCAAAUAAAACCGAGUUAAAAUAGCA